UCAUGACCUCUAUGCCCAUGACAUGUUCGUGACAGUUAUGGGGAGUCGUUAUCGGUUUUUUACAAAAUACGAAGUAAAAUAUUCACAAAACAUAGUUCACAAAAUGUAAAAUUAAUGAUGACGAGAUGACUUAAAACGAAGAAAUAUCAGUAAUACGUUUGUGAGUUGUAGCUGUAGAAAUUAUGCUUUAAUUAAUAGAGGAUGAAUACUCAAAUUCCACUUCGGGAAAAAUCAACUGGAUUUCUUUUUCGUAUAAAUUCCAGCACAACUAGUACUCCUUCAGGCUCACCUAAUAAUUCUCGAUUAGAGGACGAUGUGGAAGGGAAAGUAAAGACUCGUUUAUUGUCUAUGUGGAAUAACAUGAAAUAUGGGAUGAAAUUAAAGACAAAUUUCUCUAAAGAAUCUCCAGUGUGGUUAUUAGGAAAAUGUUAUAAAAAAGUUGAACCGCAUGAUUCAACUGAAGAAGGAAUGGACAUUGCUGCUUAUAACAGCAAUAGCAAUAUAUCAAAUAAUGAAGAAGAUGACUUUGAAGGCUUUAAAAGUGAUUUUACCAGUAGAUUAUGGUUGACUUAUCGCAGAGAGUUUCCAGUGUUAAAUGGUUCUACUUACAGUAGUGAUUGUGGAUGGGGUUGCAUGUUAAGAAGUGGACAAAUGCUUCUAGCCCAAGCUUUAAUUUGCCAUUUUUUAGGAAGAGGAUGGAGGUGGAUUCCUGACCAAAUUCCAAAUACCAGACAAGGUAUUAUGGAAAAUAUUAAUCACAGAAAAAUUAUAAAGUGGUUUGGUGACAAACCUUCAAAAAAUAGUCCAUUUUCUUUACACACUUUGGUACAGUUAGGGGAAAAUUCUGGUAAAAAGCCUGGUGACUGGUACGGUCCAGGAUGUGUUGCAUUCCUUUUAAGAGAAGCAAUGAAAUUAGCAUCAAAAGACAAUUGUGAAUUUGAUAAAUUAAAUAUUUAUGUUGCCCAAGAUUGUGCAGUAUACAUAAAAGACAUUGAAGAAGAAUGUCAAACAUUUGACAAUAAAUGGAAAUCAUUAAUACUACUUAUCCCUGUACGUCUUGGUGCAGAUAAAUUUAAUACUUUCUUCUCAUCUCAGUUGACUAGUUUGUUAACUUUAGAACAGUGUAUUGGUAUAAUUGGAGGACGACCAAAACAUGCAUUAUAUUUUAUUGGAUAUCAAGAUCCACAUUAUUGUCAAGAGAUGGUAGAUGUUUGGGCAACAGAUUUUCCAAUUUCUAGUUUUCAUUGUCGAUCACCCAGAAAGUUGCACAUAAGUAAGAUGGAUCCAUCUUGUUGUUUGGGAUUUUAUUGCUCUACUAGAGAAGAAUUUAGUAAUCUUGUUGAAACAUUAAAACUGAUGAUAUCACCUACUAAAACAAAAGUGUUCAAUGAAUAUCCAAUGUUUGUUUUUUCUAAUGGUAGUAGUAAGGACACUCAUAUUGAAUCAACCAUUAAAGGACAUCAUGUGGAUUAUGAAUUUAAAACUUGCGAUGUUCUUGGGGAAUGUACAGAAACUGAAGAAUUUGAAAUAGUUUAAAAUCUUCAAUACUUUCAAAGUUAACAGAAUAACUGAAAGUUGCUGUCAUUCGCAGAAAAGGUGCUUUCAUCCUUGAACCAGGCAUUAUAUGGAAAAGUUCGGUCUAUGGGGAAAGAACACCAGCACGUCAAGUUUCUUAUGAUCCUCUCUUCUUUUCGUACACCAUUUGUUGUUCUCUUUUCCAACCCAGAAGAUUUUGCAUCAAGUUUAACCAAAGAGGGAAGAAUAUCAACAUAUUAAAUUUAUUAUGAUCCUGUGUUCUUCCUGUAUACUAUUUGUUUUUUCUUCAGCAACUCGGAAAAUUUUUAACUAAUCAAGAUUGGUCAACAAUUGAGAGAGAUUGGAACUGAUAUCUUUGCUUACUGAAAAGAUAAGUCGUCUCCUAUGGUGUUGUAGCUGUUAUCCUUUCAUCUUGGAGGCUUUUGUAGUUAAUUAAGGAACAUUAGAAGAACUCCGGAUACCAUUAAAUUAUGAAAUUUUGGAGCAUUGGUUGUAUUAGUCCUCAUUUGCCCUUGAAAGUAGCUGUG
rnacentral:misc_RNA from 1 species